rnacentral:rRNA from 1 species
CGUUAGCGGCGGACGGGUGAGUAACACGUGGGUAACCUACCUAUAAGACUGGGAUAACUUCGGGAAACCGGAGCUAAUACCGGAUAAUAUUUCGAACCGCAUGGUUCGAUAGUGAAAGAUGAUUUUGCUAUCACUUAUAGAUGGACCUGCGCCGUAUUAGCUAGUUGGUAAGGUAACGGCUUACCAAGGCGACGAUACGUAGCCGACCUGAGAGGGUGAUCGGCCACACUGGAACUGAGACACGGUCCAGACUCCUACGGGAGGCAGCAGUC